rnacentral:rRNA from 1 species
GAGUUUGAUCCUGGCUCAGGAUGAACGCUGGCGGCGUGCUUAACACAUGCAAGUCGAGCGAAGCACUUAACUUUGAUUCUUUCGGGAUGAAGAGUUCUGUGACUGAGCGGCGGACGGGUGAGUAACGCGUGGGUAACCUGCCUCGUACAGGGGGAUAACAGUUAGAAAUGGCUGCUAAUACCGCAUAAGACCACAGCACCGCAUGGUGCAGGGGUAAAACUCCGGUGGUAUGAGAUGGACCCCGCGUCUGAUUAGCUAGUUGGUGGGUAACGGCCUACCAAGGCGACGAUCAGUAGCCGACCUGAGAGGGUGACCGGCCACAUUGGGACUGAGACACGGGCCCAAACUCCUACGGGAGCAAGCAGUGGGGAAUAUUGCACAAUGGGGGAAACCCUGAUGCAGCGACGCCGCGUGAGCGAAGAAGUAUUUCGGUAUGUAAAGCUCUAUCAGCAGGGAA